rnacentral:rRNA from 1 species
GAUGAACGCUGGCGGCGUGCUUAACACAUGCAAGUCGAACGAUGAAGCCCAGCUUGCUGGGUGGAUUAGUGGCGAACGGGUGAGUAACACGUGAGUAACCUGCCCUUAACUCUGGGAUAAGCCUGGUAAACUGGGUCUAAUACCGGAUAGGAGCGUCCACCGCAUGGUGGGUGUUGGAGAGAUUUAUCGGUUUUGGAUGGACUCGCGGCCUAUCAGCUUGUUGGUGAGGUAAUGGCUCACCAAGGCGACGACGGGUAGCCGGCCUGAGAGGGUGACCGGCCACACUGGGACUGAGACACGGACCAGACUCCUACGGGAGGCAGCAGUGGGGAAUAUUGCACAAUGGGCGCAAGCCUGAUGCAGCGACGCCGCGUGAGGGAUGACGGCCUUCGGGUUGUAAACCUCUUUCAGUAGGGAAGAAGCGAAAGUGACGGUACCUGCAGAAGAAGCACCGGCUAACUACGUG